CCGGGUCCCACCGGCUCCUCCGGAAGCCGCGGACCGGCCUGGCCCUGACCCCAGGCCGCCCCCCGCUGCCCACCCAGCUCUGGGCGCCCAGGUCCGACCUCCCAGUCGCCCUCUGAGAGCCGAGUCAGCGCGGGGCGGGGGGUCGCCCCCUUUGUCCUCACUCAGGGCGGGAGGCCCUCGGGGUGGCCGCAGACGCCCCGUUGGGCAGCCCUCCAGCCCAGCUCUCCAGGCAGGAGGUGGGGGAAGCCUGGGAAAGCGGAGGGGGGGCCCCGGGAUCCCCCGAGGCGCGGGGCUCCCGGCGAAGCCUCAGAUCUCCGGCCCUUCCCGGGGAGGGUGCGGGCGGGGCGGGCCUUUGGAAAUGCAGAUGAGCCGCCGCCCGGGCCGGGGUUGAACCUUCUGACUCAGCCACCCCCGGCCGCCCGGGCCGCUGGGGGAGGGGCGGCGUCUGGGGUGCUCCCUUUCAGCCCCGGAGCCCGUCUGCUGUGUAUUCGGCCGGUCACAUCUCUCUCCCCCAACGCCCUGAUCCGCCCUCCACCUUCCUCUCCUCCAGGUUCUGGGCCGGAGAAGGGGCGACGUUCGGGCACCCCCCGAAUGGACAAUCUUUCCUUCUGUCAACGGCAGGGGCAGGCCUAGUUUGACUCUGACAGUCCUCCCACUAAGCUUCUGUUGUCAGGCAUUUGGGGCGUGUAAGUCUCUGCCGAAUAUAGCAGCAUACGAGAGGAUCCACUUGCAAGUAUUUCCCAGUUGUGUGUUCUUCGGCGGGGGGAGGGCCCUGGGUGCCGCCUACUUCUGAAAGACACAGGUCACUGUCAGAAAGCCCAACUGUGCUGUGGCCUUCCCUCCAGCCGCCCCCGUGGGGCAUGUGGGGUGACAGUGUGAGCCGUCCUCUGAUGUCUGGCUGCUAGAGAGGCAAAGAACAGAGACCCGAGGUUCCGGCCACCUUUCUCUAUGAAAGGGCCUUCCUUGACGCUUCUCCACCUUCCUGGGAUUGUUUUCUUCUCCAGUCCCCGAAUGGGCAGGCCUGUAUAUAAGCCUUGUUUCUAGAACCAGACAAAGCUGGAUUUGAAACCUGGCGAGCCAUUGAACAGCUAUGGCCUUGCGUAAGCGGUAUAGCCUCCAAGCCUAUUUCUCCAUCUCCGAAAACAGGGCUAGAUCAGUGGUUCUUAGUCUGGAACCGGCAUCAGAAUCACACCGGAAGGGGGGCUCACUGAAAAUGGACCACCGGGCCUGGUGCCCAAGUGUCUGAUUCAGUGGGUUGGUCCUUAGGACUGGCAUUUCUAACAAGUUCCCAGGUGAGGUGAGGCUGAUGCUGUGGUCUGGGAACACAUUUUGAGACUCCAGCCCCUAGCCUGGUAACACCUGGGGUUUUGACGCAGAAGUGCCACGUUCCACGCUUGGCACAUAGUAAUUGAUUUCAUUCUAACGCUAGCCGACUUCAUGUAUUGAAUAGUUUCCCAUCUCAGUGUCUAAGAAGCUCCACAGCUGGAGAUGGCGGCCCUUGGUCUCGGAGCCCCCCUCCUUGUGAUUUCUGCUUUGUGAUUGCUUUGAUGAACCAUUUGGGUCCAGGUGCUCCUGAUCACACCACCUCCCCUAUUUGGGACUUGUGCCCCACUCCCGCUGUGAGGGCUACACCGAGCUCUGGGGGCCUGUUCGGAUUAACAAGGAGAUCUUGCUAAAGGUAUCUUGGUGCUAAGUUAAGGGAGAUAGUUCGCCAUGGGCUAGGAUCUCUCAGUGCUGGUGACCUUGGGUGAGUGUCUCCCUGUAAAGUGAUAAGGAUGCCUGCUGGAAAGGGUGGUGGGAGGAUUAAGUGCGUUAAAGAGGCCCUCCUCCCAAGCUUUUAGUUGGCCUCCAUUGUGAUCGUGGUUAUUGCUGGGAGUGGCUGCAGGGGGUGGGGGCUGGGCUGCCUCAGAGCUUCCCCCCGCACCAGCCCACCUGCUGAAGCACGUGUCCCUGCCUCAGGGCAAAGGGGAAUCUGGCGCUCCCUGGGAAGGCGGCCAACGCGGUUCUCCUCUGGAGUGGUUGAGUCCAGCUGCAGGCCUUUCCCCAUCCACAGGGGCUGUUCCAUGAUGGGGUCAAGAUUUGGGUCACCCACCCAUGGUCCGGGGAGAAGUGACUCCCCAAGGUCACAAGGCCACCACCAAUAGAGCCAGGAUGGGGUUCCAGGUGGCUUGACUUGGCAGCCAGCGCCUGUGCCCAUGGCACCCCCUCACCCCAGCUGUCUGGGUUAUUUUGGGCUUCCUCCCGUGCCAGCUGUCUGCUGGCAUCCCUGCCCGGGACUGUCUGGUUGGAAGUAACUGGCGUGGUGCUGUUGGCUCCUCCUGUGAGGGCCAGGGCUGGGUCUUCAAUCCCCGAUGAGCCGUGCUGGGUCCAGCUCCUUUGCUGGGAGGGAAGAGUGUUCCUGCCCAGACUCCCCGCUGCCCAAGUACAGCAAGAGGGCGAAAGCACCUGAUAAAAAUUGAGGUUCACAUUGUUAAUAUCCCAAAAGCCUCCUCCUUCUAUACUCCCUGAAACCUGUUUUAAAUUUGGCUCUGCCAUUGAACCCCGUUGCUCUCACGUUACCCUCUGCCGCCCGAGGGUGUGGCGCCUCCCUUUAGAGUCUUCGUUGCUCUCCGGGUGGGGUCUUUACUCCCCACCUGCUUUGGAUAAUUAAGUAAUUGAUGUACGUCUCCCUCCCAGCUGCACCCUGGAGGGCUCCAGCCAGUUUCUCCCCUCCCUGGAUCCAAUCAGUGAGCUGUUGGGUGCUCAGCUGUGGUCUGGAUGUGGUUCUCGGCACGGUGUCGGGACCCACCUGGCUGGACUGUACCCCUCUCUCUCUGCUUUGGUCCCUCUUCUUUCUUUGUCCCCCCACCAUCACCUCUUGGGGCAGGGAGGGUGAGGCAGUUUGUCCUCCUGCUGCUGUUCCUGCUGGUCCCUCGAGGGCGCCCCGCCCACCGGUCACCCAGCGAACGCGGGGCGGGGCCGCUGCUGGCGCUGGGCCCCAGGGCUUGCAGAGAGAGGGCCACGCCAGCGGAAGGGCCGGCCAGGAGGUGGCAGGACUUGCCUUACUACUGAGUCGCCGGCAUCCCCGCCUCUUCCGGCCUCUCCGCCCGGAGCCCUAGCGUGGAACAUGACCUUUCGGACCCUCUGGGUGGAGACACAGCCUCUGCCUGGGCUGUGCAGUGAGGUGGCACCACCAUCUCAGGUCGUCUGGCCCAGUGCAUCUGUAGCUGGCAUGUGACUUCCAGCAAGCUCCUGCCCCUGAGCGCUGGGAGGAGCAGGUCCAGCAAUAAUUUUUUUUUUUUUUUUUUUGAGACAGAGUUUCGCUCUUGUUGCCCAGGCAAUGGUGUGAUCUGGGCUCACCGCAACCUCCGCCUCCAGGGUUCAAGCGAUUCUCCUGCCUCAGCCUCCGAGUAGCUGGGAUUACAGGCAUGUGCCACCACGCCCGGAUAAUUUUGUAUUUUUAGUAGAGACAGGGUUUCUCCAUGUUGGUCAGGCUGGUCUCAAACUGACCUCAGGUGAUCCGCCCACCUCGGCCUCCCAAAGUGCUGGGAUUACAGGCAUGAGCCACCGCGCCUGGCCGGACAAUAAUGUUUUGAGCUGUUGCUGAGUCUGGCUUUUGUGACGGGAACUUUUAGCACUCAAGGAGUGGCCUUGUCUCUGGCCUGUCCCCGAGUGCUCAUGGGCAGCCAAGGCCUGGGGACUGCUCAGGCAGGGUAGAUGUAUUUGCCAGGCCAGCUCCCGUCCCUGGGACCUCAGGGAGUAGCUUCAUCCCUGAAGGCUGAGUGUCUUCUGCCUCAUGUGGGUGGCCCCUCUGCAGGGUUCUCAGGCAUCCAGGGAAGUGGGUGCCACAGCGUUGCCUCCAGCCUCACUGGGGCUGGCUGGACUUUGCUCUGACAACACAGCAGUGGCUGGGCCCCUGCAACUCUCCAGGGCUCAGUUUCCCUGUUGGCCGCACUAUGGCAUAGGCCCCUGUGUGGACACCGAUGAGCUGACCCCACAAAUGCCACCCGGCCGCUCCCCCAGGCUUCAGUGGCCUAACAGCUGUUGUGUCAGGAACCAGCUUAAAGAAUCUUUCUUGCUUUCUCAAACUCUCCAGGAAUUCCUGGUGACUGGAAGGGGGAGUGACUCAGGCCCUCAACCUCUAGCAGGUAAGGGAGCUACCUCCUGGGUGGGCAUGCCCAGUUCCUCAGUGGGCCCAGCGCGGCCCAGCCUCCGAGGAAGCUCUGAGCAGCUGGCUUGGCUCCGAGGUAUUUUUAGCUACAGAUCCAGCCCCCCUCCAUCACCACAACAGUCGAGUCCAAAUCAAACGCGCUCCAGGCAGGUGGGGCUGGGGUUCUGCCAGCCUCCUGGCCAGCAGGGGUGGGUGGGCAGACUGGGGCCAGUAUCAGCUGUUCUGCCUGGACCCAGGCCGGGCUGGGAAGGCACACUUGUGCUUAUUUCCCGCCUCCACUUCUGUGCAAGCUUGUGCUGUCAUAAGCAGAGAUCACAGCCCCAUUUCUUGGAUGGAGAAAGUGGACACUGAGGUCUGAGGCUUUUGAGGACAGUCAGGAGCCCUCCUAUGGGCUCCAGUGAUGCACUCACCAGCUUCUGGUCCUCUUCUUCCACCUCUUAGAGUGCCUUGGCUCCCUCCUGUCGUCCUGGGGAACCUCGGCCCCAGCCCUGCCUCCCCAGCCAGUCACAGCUCCUCCCUGGUCACCCUGAGGGAGCUCAGGGCCCGGCUGGUAGCUGGGUUGCUCUGCUUCUGUCCCCCACUCCUGUGGAGCCUGGCAGGCAACUCCAUGAUCUGACCCCGGUUACCUUGACAGCCCUGCCUGGCCUCCCCUCUCAUGGCCCAGCCACCCCAGAACCUGAAGAGGUUUUCUAGCUGCCGUGCAUUUGCCAGGCUGGGUUACCCACCCUACUUUCCCUGCCUGCCCUCCAGUGCUGCCAGGCCUAGUGUGCCAGCCAGCGCUCAGCCUUCAGUAAAGGGUUCCCCUGCUUCCAACCUCCAUUGCACUGCUUCCCCUAAGACUGUGACCUCCUGGAAGGCUGGAGCACAACUGCCUCUCAAUAAACGUGUUGCAAAAAAGGAAU
rnacentral:lncRNA from 1 species